AGUUUGAUCAUGGCUCAGAGUGAACGCUGGCGGCAGGCCUAAUACAUGCAAGUCGAACGGCAGCACAGCAGAGCUUGCUCUGGUGGGUGGCGAGUGGCGGACGGGUGAGGAAUACAUGGGAAUCUGCCCAGUCGUGGGGGAUAACGUAGGGAAACUUACGCUAAUACCGCAUGCGCCCUUCGGGGGAAAGCCGGGGACCUUCGGGCCUGGCGCGAUUGGAUGAGCCCAUGUCGGAUUAGCUAGUUGGCGGGGUAAUGGCCCACCAAGGCGACGAUCCGUAGCUGGUCUGAGAGGAUGAUCAGCCACACUGGAACUGAGACACGGUCCAGACUCCUACGGGAGGCAGCAGUAGGGAAUAUUGGACAAUGGGCGCAAGCCUGAUCCAGCCAUGCCGCGUGAGUGAAGAAGGCCCUCGGGUUGUAAAGCUCUUUUGUCCGGAAAGAAAAGCGCCGGGUUAAUACCCUGGUGUCCUGACGGUACCGGAAGAAUAAGCACCGGCUAACUUCGUG
rnacentral:rRNA from 1 species